rfam:Trachipleistophora hominis chromosome Tnknown scaffold00237, whole genome shotgun sequence.
CGUUCAAGAAGCUUUCGUUUAGGGGCAUUGUCCUUAGGAAGGUCUGAGAACACGCUAGCUGAGAUGGCAAGGGGCUAACGUCCUUAACCGGUCUAACAGAAAUGUUCGCAUCCGCAAGGUUGCAUGGAAAGUACCGGUGUGUUACGCUGGUAGUCCAAUACGAAAGGCGGUGGUUGGUCCCACCGUAACGGAAUUCAGACUACUCUCUUGAACG